rnacentral:rRNA from 1 species
AUUGAACGCUGGCGGCAUGCCUUACACAUGCAAGUCGAACGGCAGCACGGGGCAACCUGGUGGCGAGUGGCGAACGGGUGAGUAAUGCGUCGGAACGUACCUUUCAGUGGGGGAUAACGUAGCGAAAGUUACGCUAAUACCGCAUAUUCUGUGAGCAGGAAAGCAGGGGAUCGCAAGACCUUGCGCUGAUUGAGCGGCCGAUGUCAGAUUAGCUAGUUGGUGAGGUAAAGGCUCACCAAGGCGACGAUCUGUAGCGGGUCUGAGAGGAUGAUCCGCCACACUGGAACGGAGACACGGUCCAGACUCCCACGGGAGGCAGCAGUGGGGAAUUUUGGACAAUGGGGGCAACCCUGAUCCAGCCAUGCCGCGUGAGUGAAGAAGGCCUUCGGGUUGUAAAGCUCUUUCGGCCGGGAAGAAAUCGCACGGGCUAAUACCCUGUGUGGAUGACGGUACCUGAAGAAGAAGCACCGGCUAACUACGUGCCAGCCGCCGCCGUAACAC